rnacentral:rRNA from 1 species
GCUAGACCUCCUUGAAGGGUCGUUCGAGACCAGGACGUUGAUAGGUCAGGUGUGUAAGCGCAGUAAUGCGUUCAGCUAACUGAUACUAAUUGCCCGUAAGGCUUGAUCCUAUAACA